CUUGACAAACCUAUAAGAGGUCCAGCCUGCCCAGUGACUCUGUUCAACGGCCGCGGUAUCCUAACCGUGCGAAGGUAGCGUAAUCACUUGUUCUUUAAAUGAGGACUAGUAUGAAUGGCACCACGAAGGUUAUACUGUCUCCUUUUUCUAAUCAGUGAAACUAAUCUUCCCGUGAAGAAACGGGAAUAAAAAUAUAAGACGAGAAGACCCUAUGGAGCUUUAAACAAAUAUACACCUGCCUCUUUACCAAAAAUUUCAGAAGACAAGUAAUUACCCGGGCAUUUUGAUAUAGCGUUUUAGGUUGGGGUGACCGCGGAGCAAAAAAUAACCUCCGCAGCGAACGGGAGUAUUCCCUAAACCAAGGGCCACAACCCUAAGUAUUAAUAAAUUAACACUAAUUGACCCA
rnacentral:rRNA from 1 species